UUGAUCCUGGCUCAGAACGAACGCUGGCGGCAAGCCUAACACAUGCAAGUCGAACGGACAAUUACUUACAGCCUCUUGGCUAUAAAUAAUUGUUAGUGGCAGACGGGUGAGUAAUGCGUAGGAAUCUACCUAGUAGUAUGGAAUAGCCAUUAGAAAUGAUGGGUAAUACUGUAUAAUCCCUGCGGGGGAAAGAUUUAUCGCUAUUAGAUGAGCCUACGUUAGAUUAGCUAGUUGGUAAGGUAAUGGCUUACCAAGGCUAUGAUCUAUAGCUGGUCUGAGAGGACGAUCAGCCACACUGGAACUGAGAUACGGUCCAGACUCCUACGGGAGGCAGCAGUGGGGAAUAUUGGACAAUGGGCGAAAGCCUGAUCCAGCUAUGCCGCGUGAGUGAAGAAGGCCUUCGGGUUGUAAAACUCUUUCAAUAGGGAAGAUAAUGACGGUACCUAUAGAAGAAGUCCCGGCAAACUCUGUGCCAGCAGCCGCGGUAAUACGGAGGGGGCAAGCGUUGUUCGGAAUUAUUGGGCGUAAAGGGCACGUAGGUGGAUUAGUAAGUUAAAAGUGAAAUACCAAGGCUUAACUUUGGAGCGGCUUUUAAUACUGCUAGACUAGAGGUCGAAAGAGGAUAGCGGAAUUCCUAGUGUAGAGGUGA
rnacentral:rRNA from 1 species